rnacentral:rRNA from 1 species
ACGCUCGACACCUACGGGAGGCAGCAGUGGGAAUAUUGCACAAGUGGGGGAAACCCUGAUGCAGCGACGCCGCGUGGAGGAAGAAGGUCUUCGGAUUGUAAACUCCUGUUGUUGGGGAAAAAGAGGAUGGUACCCAACAAGGAAGUGACGGCUAACUACGUGCUAGCAGCCGCGGUAAUCUGAGCGGGCUGGCAGGC